GGUGCGAUAGCUCAGUGGUACGGGCUUCGCUUCUCAAACAAGAGGCCCGUGGUUCGAAUCCAGGUCACAUCA
rnacentral:tRNA from 1 species